ACCAGCGUCUGUCUACACCUGAGUGAGCCGUACUGGUCGUAGUGGCCCCACCCUACAAGGAUGCCCUUCCUACAGUAUCACUGAUGGCUGUCUAAUCCGGCUGGAGUGCAGCGGCAUGAUCUCGGCACACUGCAGCCACCGUCUUCCAGGUUCAAGCGAUUCUCCCACCUCAGCCUCCCGAGGAGCUGGGAUUACAGGAGUUCAGUGGCGUGACCAGGGCUCACUGCAACCUUGAUCUGGGCUCAAGUGAUCCUCCUACCUCAGCUUCUUGAGUAGCUAGGACCACAGGUGUGCACUACCACACCCGACUAAUUUUUGUAGAGAUGAGAUCCCACUAUGUUACCCAGGCUGGUCUCGAACUCCUGGGCUCAGGUGAUCAUCCUGCCUUGGCUUCCCAAAGUACUGGGAUUAUAGGCUUGAGCCACCGUGCCUGGCCUGUGAUCAGAAUUCUCAUUUUUUUAGUCACUAAAAAUGCUGGGGGGCACUCCAUUCUCCAUUAUAUGAUUAGUUCACAUUGCAUGCCUGUAUCAAAACAUCAUAUAUACCCCACAAAUAUAUACAAAAAACUUUAAAAUUUUAAGUACUAAUUGCUCAGGAAAAAAAAAUUUUAAUGCUGGGGUGCUGAAAUCUCAAGGGCACCAUUACAACACUCCUUAGGAACCUCGCCCUCUCUCUGCUGUAAGGAUUGGUUCCAGAAUGAGAGAAUUUAAAAGACACUCCCCCCCAAAAGUGUUCAUAAUGUCACCCCGGAAACCUGCGAAUAUAUUACAUGACCAGGGAGAAGUAAGGUUGCAGAUGGCAGUAAGUUUGCUAAUGGGCUGACCUUAAGAUAAGGAGAUGAUCCUGGAUUAUCUGGGUGGACCCAAUGUAAUCACAAGGGUCCUUAACUGUGGAAUAGUGAGGUGGCAGAGUCAGAGGCAGAGUGAUGCAAUGAGUGAAAGACUUAACCAGCCAUCACCGGCUUUGAAUACGGAAGACGGUCAUGAGCCAGGGAAUGCAGGCAGGCUCUGGGAGCUGAAAAAAGCAAGAAAAUGGAUUCUUCCCUGGAGCCUCCAGAAGGGAUGCGGUCCUGCCAACACCUUGUCAGUGAGCCAUUUCAGACUUCUGACUUCCAGGACUGUAAGAAAAUAAACUUGUCUUGUUUUCAGA